rnacentral:rRNA from 1 species
AUGCUACAUGCCUGCUGUCCGGAAGAAUCUCAGACUAAACCUCAGUUGGUUGUAAUUAACAUGUACAAAGAUUGCUGGUCUGCUGGUUUAUUGUUCCUGCCUCAAACAUCAUGUACGUGCAUGUUCAUUUCAUCAUCUGGAACACAACAUUUGUUUUCACUUGCUUGUUCGUUGGGCACAAGCAUCAAGCUAAUGUUUGAGAAGCAAGCAGAUCACAUGAUCAUCUCACCUUUUCUUACUAUAGGAGAAACAUGGCCUGUCGAUGCGGUCGCCGUACGUGUAUAUUGUACAUCUAAAAAAGGACCAAGGAUACAAGGCACGAAACGUGCAUGGGUAAGAUAG